rnacentral:rRNA from 1 species
GGACUACUGGGGUUUCUAAUCCUGUUUGCUCCCCCAGCUUUCGAGUCUUAGCGUCAGUAAAGGCCCAGGCAGCUGCUUUCGCCAUAGGUGUUCCUCCCGAUCUCUACGCAUUUCACCGCUACACCGGGAAUUCCACUGCCCCCUACCCUACUCUAGACGCCCAGUAUCCGACGACGGUUCCCAGUUGAGCCGGGAGAUUGAACGUCGGACUUAAGCGCCCGCCUACACUCGCUUUACGCCUAGUAAUUCCGAAUAACGCUCGCCACCUAUGUCUUACCGCGGCUGCUGGCAC